rnacentral:lncRNA from 1 species
UACUUGAGGGGCCGCCGGCUCCAGGCUCGCGGAGGGGAGCGAGCGUUGUCACCGCGUCGCCCAGCCGUCGCUCGCGCGUCCUCCUCGCCGCCGGGGCUUCUCCUCUGAAGGGUGGGCGGAGAGCUUAGCGAGAGCCCGGGCGUUUGCAACUUUUCUUCACUUUCUCUUCCACCGCCCCCCGAAAGAGGGAAAAAAAAAUGUCGACAGGGAUGAAGAAGUUGAGGAAACCCUCAUAUGGAACCGACCUAGAUGACGACCCACAGACUGAACUGGGGUACAGAGAAUGAGGAAGCUCAUUCCAGGAAGAAGAAACAAGUACAACAGGAGAAACAGAAGUAAUGUGUGUCGAAACAGCAUUUGACUGCAAUAGUAUAAAGUCUGGGAAACAAUUUAGAGCUAGAUUACGUUAGGACCCAGCCAAAGAAUUUACAUGCUAGCCUAUUGAGUCUGGCUAGCACUGCCUGCAUGCACAUGACUGUGGAGCCAUCCACUGGAGCCUGGGUAACGUAACAAUAGACACACUCCUAAAGAAAAAUGACUCUCCUGCUCAUCAAUUGAACUUGUGGAUUGCCAACAGUUCCUCGGCUGUGGGAAAGCCUCGUGAACUCCUCUCCCCUCCAGGCUGGAAUGUUGACUGACUUGAUCUCAUGCAGGUCUUGUGCUGGUAAGCACAGCUGUUGUGAGCUCAUGAGUGCCAUAG